GGAACCUCCACGGUGUGUCUGUGACUCCCCAUUCUCUGGAGAUUUCUAGGAAGAAAGAAGUAUUUCGUGACACGAUCCACUCAGGAGAGUUGGAGCGAGGCUGGCUGAGGUUCUCAAGGAGCUGAGUUUUGAGUUCAGGUGCUCACUUGGCAGUGGAAUGAUGCCUCCUGACCUUUCAGACCUUUGAGACCUCUGGGCGGUCUUAGAAAUCACUUCGAGCCUCCAGUCCAGGAUACGACUGCCUAGGGGAAUUCCAGGGAAAGGUGGCAGAGGUACCAUGGACUGUGAAGUGAUGGAUACCACAACGAGCUCACUGCAAGAUCUCAAAGAUUCCAAGCCACUGGCUGUUCCCAGUCAAAUGCCACCCUUCUGGAGAGGCGGCAGGAAGCGAGCUGGCAGGAGGCCCUACCUUUUGGCCAGAGGACAGACCCCUUCUCAGAUGUCCCAGGGAGCCGCUGAAGGAUAGUGAGGAAGAUGCUGCUGAUCCACAGGAGACAAUCACAGUAGCUGAAAUUAAGAAAUACCUCAAGUGAGACUCAAGCCCAGCGUCCCUUCAGACGAAAGUUCUCUGACCUACAGUUCUGGACUGGACUGUUUUUCCUUUGCUAUUAUCUGUGUAACACACCGUUCUGAGCGCUUUUGACUAGUUGACUUUUUUUUUUUUCCUGCCUAUUCUUUUUCUUUUCUUGGCCCUGGGAAUUAUAAAAAAGAAAUUACUUUAAAAAGUAUAAUUCUAUGCUGAAAUUAGCCUUGUAUGUGAACAAAAGCUGUUCCUAGAGAUUUUCUGAAUUGCAAUCCCAGGUUACCUGGUAAAUGGGGCUGUGGUUUGAUUUGUAUAGUACUGAUCUGUAGAUUAAAAUACACUUCCUUUCCUUUAUUUUUUGUUUGGAUCCAGGUAAUGGCCCGAGUCACAUUUGCUUAGCUACCGAAGCGAUCUGAAUGUGGUAUCGCUUGGAGUUGAAAUAUAAUCAAACAUACAUUAUACCUGGGGCUCUUGCGCACUAUUUGAUAUAUGUGUUACACUGCAAAGAAACACAAACCUUGUAGGUUGAAAUUUAAUUCCUGUUUGAUCCUGCAGCUAGAAUGGUGAAGAAAUUGUAAAUAUCAAAAGUGCCUUCAAAUACCCUACAUGGAAGGUAGUCAACAGUAAGUGGAUAGUUUCAGAAUGCCAUUUUCUAAGACAAAGUGGGAAUUGGAGAUCAACUGACCUCAUCGGCAGUGUUGUGCAGGUCUGUCUGUCUGGAUCUGCCCAUUUUGGAGGAGUUAAAGAACAAGGCAUGCUUCUGUGAUGGGGUUUAUGGAAAUUGUGGUAUUUCUGUCUUCUGUAACUGUGCCUGCCUUGCAAUAAAACACCAUCAGUUGACUCAGCAA